rnacentral:rRNA from 1 species
GACGAACGCUGGCGGCGUGCUUAACACAUGCAAGUCGAACGGAAAGGCCCUGCUUUUGUGGGGUGCUCGAGUGGCGAACGGGUGAGUAACACGUGAGUAACCUGCCCUUGACUUUGGGAUAACUUCAGGAAACUGGGGCUAAUACCGGAUAGGAUCUCUUGCUCCAUGUGGGGGGUUGGAAAGUUUCGGCGUUGGGGUAUGUAGUCGCGGCUUAUCAUCUUGUUGGUGGGGUAGUGGCUUACCAAGCCUUGGACGGUUAGCCGGCCUGGGAGGGAGACGGGCCACAUGGGGACUGAGAUACGGCCCAGACUGCAACGGGAGGCAGGAGUGGGGAAUAUUGCACAAUGGGCGGAAGCAUGAUGCAGCAACGCCGCGUGGGGGAUGACGGCCUUCGGGUUGUAAACAGCUUGCGCCUGUGACGAAGCGUGAGUGACGGUAAUGGGUAAAGAAGCACCGGCUAACUACGU